GAUGAACGCUAGCUACAGGCUUAACACAUGCAAGUCGAGGGGAAACGAUAGAGAAAGCUUGCUUUUUCUAGGCGUCGACCGGCGCACGGGUGAGUAACGCGUAUCCAACCUGCCCACCACUUGGGGAUAACCUUGCGAAAGUAAGACUAAUACCCAAUGAUAUCUCUAGACGACAUCUGAAAGGGAUUAAAGAUUUAUCGGUGAUGGAUGGGGAUGCGUCUGAUUAGGUUGUUGGCGGGGUAACGGCCCACCAAGCCCACGAUCAGUAGGGGUUCUGAGAGGAAGGUCCCCCCACAUUGGAACUGAGACACGGUCCAAACUCCUACGGGAGGCAGCAGUGAGGAAUAUUGGUCAAUGGACGGAAGUCUGAACCAGCCAAGUAGCGUGCAGGACGACGGCCCUAUGGGUUGUAAACUGCUUUUAUGUGGGAAUAAAGUGUGGGACGUGUCCCAUAUUGCAGGUACCGCAUGAAUAAGGACCGGCUAAUUCCGUGCCAGCAGCCG
rnacentral:rRNA from 1 species